rnacentral:rRNA from 1 species
CGCGGCCUAUCAGCUUGUUGGUGGGGUAAUGGCCUACCAAGGCGACGACGGGUAGCCGGCCUGAGAGGGCGACCGGCCACACUGGGACUGAGACACGGCCCAGACUCCUACGGGAGGCAGCAGUGGGGAAUAUUGCACAAUGGGCGGAAGCCUGAUGCAGCGACGCCGCGUGAGGGAUGACGGCCUUCGGGUUGUAAACCUCUUUCAGUAGGGACGAAGCGCAAGUGACGGUACCUACAGAAGAAGCACCGGCCAACUACGUGCCAGCAGCCGCGGUAAUACGUAGGGUGCGAGCGUUGUCCGGAUUUACUGGGCGUAAAGAGCUCGUAGGCGGUUUGUCACGUCGUCUGUGAAAACCCGAGGCUUAACCUCGGGCCUGCAGGCGAUACGGGCAGACUUGAGUACUGUAGGGGAGACUGGAAUUCCUGGUGUAGCGGUGGAAUGCGCAGAUAUCAGGAGGAACACCGGUGGCGAAGGCGGGUCUCUGGGCAGUAACUGACGCUGAGGAGCGAAAGCGUGGGUAGCGAACAGGAUUAGAUACCCUGGUAGUCCACGCCGUAAACGGUGGGUACUAGGUGUGGGUUUCCUUCCACGGGAUCCGUGCCGUAGCUAACGCAUUAAGUACCCCGCCUGGGGAGUACGG